AGUAGGACGUUUAACCCACUGAGCCACCCAGGCGCCCCUCUCCAUGUCCGUUUUUUACUGGCUUGCUGUGCACCCAGGAGACACAUCCUCCUCUGGUGCGGAUACAUAACCAUCGACCCUAGGGGAGGCUGUGACACACGGAUAAAAACCAAA